GUGAAAAAAGAAAGAAAAUAAUACAAGAAAAAUUAGUAAACAAUAAUGAAAUAAUUCAUACAUAUC